UGCAAUUGGGCAAUUUUUUUAAAUAUAUCGCAACGGCGUAAACGAUUUCAAAACAGUGAAGAUAUAUUUUUUGAUUUGGCAACUUCGAAGCCUCUACUUGUGAGUUGUCGUCUCUAAGGUGUCGAGUUAGACGUAGGAUUCUAUAUACUGUUUGAAGAAUUUAACAGUCCUCAGAAUGAUAUUGAUGGCCUUGAUUGAUAAUAAGAAUUAUGAGAAAAUUAGGAUGUCAUCAGAGGAGCUGAAGCUAAAAAAAAAAAUUAAGAAGUAUGGAA